AAGCUUUCAAUUUCAUGGUCUCGGGUUCUGCCAAAAGGAAGACAUGGAAACAUUAACUGGAAAGGGAUCAACUACUA